rnacentral:rRNA from 1 species
AGUGAACGCUGGCGGUAUGCCUAACACAUGCAAGUCGAACGGCAGCACAGUAAGAUCGUGCUCUUACGGGUGGCGAGUGGCGGAUGGGUGAGGAAUACAUCGGAAUCUACUUUUUCGUGGGGGAUAACGUAGGGAAACUUACGCUAAUACCUCAUACGACCUACGGGUGAAAGCAGGGGAUCUUCGGACCUUGCGCGACUGAUUUAGCCGAUGCCGGAUUAGCUAGUUGGCUGGGUAAAGGCCCACCAAGGCGACGAUCCGUAGCUUGUCUGAGAGGAUGAUCGGCCACACUGGAACUGAGACACGGUCCAGACUCCUACGGGAGGCAGCAGUGGGGAAUAUUGGACAAUGGGCGAAAGCCUGAUCCAGCCAUACCGCGUGGGUGAAGAAGGCCUUCGGAUUGUAAAGCCCUUUUGUUAGGAAAGAAAAGCAGCAGAUUAAUACCCCGCUGUUCUGACGGUACCCAAAGAAUAAGCACCGGCUAACUUCGUG